rnacentral:rRNA from 1 species
UACGUAGGGGGCAAGCGUUGUCCGGAUUUAUUGGGCGUAAAGAGCGUGUAGGCGGCCAAGCAGGUCCGCUGUGAAAACUCGAGGCUCAACCUCGAGACGUCGGCGGAAACCAUCUGGCUAGAGUCCGGAAGAGGAGAGUGGAAUUCCUGGUGUAGCGGUGAAAUGCGCAGAUAUCGGGAGGAACACCUGUGGCGAAAGCGGCUCACUGGACCACAACUGACGCUGAGGCGCGAAAGCUAGGGGAGCAAACAGG